rnacentral:rRNA from 1 species
UACAGGGGGUGCAAACGUUGCUCGGAAUUAUUGGGCGUAAAGCGUCCGCAGGUGGCUAUUCAAGUCUGCGGUCAAAGACUGGGGCUUAACCCUGGAAAGGCCGUGGAAACUGAAGAGCUAGAGUGCAGUAGGGGUAGAGGGAAUUCCCGGUGUAGCGGUGAAAUGCGUAGAGCUCGGGAAGAACAUCGGUGGCGAAAGCGCUCUGCUGGACUGCAACUGACACUCAGGGACGAAAGCUAGGGGAGCGAAUGGG